rnacentral:misc_RNA from 1 species
GUUGGUGUGUAUCACUCCUGCUGCAGGUAAGACCCUUCAAUUCGAAAAGCCAACUUUUUAAACUUCUCAAUACAAAGCUUUCUUCAUUUCCCAAAAUUUUCCCCCACAGGUCUUGUUCAAGGAUNNNNNNNNNUAGUAAUGGGUUUAGCAUCAGGAAGCAUCCCCUGGUACACCAUGAUGUGCUUGAGCAAGAAGUUGCCCUUGCUGCAGAAGGUUGAUGAUACCCUGGGUGUAUUACACACUCAUGCUGUUGCCGGAACCUUAGGUGGGGCUCUGACAGGGCUCUUUGCACAUCCAUACCUCAGUGGGUUGUUCUUGGUAGUCCCUAAUUCGAAAGGGGCAUUCUAUGGUACUCGAGGUGGAAUUCAAUUUCUAAAGCAAUUAGCAGGAGCAGGUUUUGUCAUAGGGUGGAACGUAUUAGUUACAUCCAUCAUUCUUUGUGUGAUAAAAUUGUUGAUACCCCUGCGGAUGACUGAUGAAGAGCUAAAAGUUGGCGAUGAUGCUGCUCAUGGAGAACAAGCGUAUGCUUUAGCUGGACAAGGACAAAAGGAAAAUUCUACAAUGAUAAGUGGAAACCAUGAUUCUGUGGAGCUCCAAUACCCCUAUGUUUAAUUUAAGAUGG